UGGGGAAUUUUGGACAAUGGGCGCAAGCCUGAUCCAGCCAUGCCGCGUGUCUGAAGAAGGCCUUCGGGUUGUAAAGGACUUUUGUCAGGGAAGAAAAGGAUAGGGUUAAUACCCCUGUCUGAUGACGGUACCUGAAGAAUAAGCACCGGCUAACUACGUGCCAGCAGCCGCGGUAAUACGUAGGGUGCGAGCGUUGAUCGGAAUUACUGGGCGUAAAGCGGGCGCAGACGGUUACUUAAGCAGGAUGUGAAAUCCCCGGGCUCAACCUGGGAACUGCGUUCUGAACUGGGUGACUAGAGUGUGUCAGAGGGAGGUAGAAUUCCACGUGUAGCAGUGAAAUGCGUAGAGAUGUGGAGGAAUACCGAUGGCGAAGGCAGCCUCCUGGGAUAACACUGACGUUCAUGCCCGAAAGCGUGGGUAGCAAACAGGAUUAGAUACCCUGGUAGUCCACGCCCUAAACGAUGUCGAUUAGCUGUUGGGCAGCUUGACUGCUUAGUAGCGAAGCUAACGCGUGAAAUCGACCGCCUGGGGAGUACGGUCGCAAGAUUA
rnacentral:rRNA from 1 species